rnacentral:rRNA from 1 species
GACGAACGCUGGCGGCGUGCUUAACACAUGCAAGUCGAACGGAAAGGCCCUGCUUUUGUGGGGUGCUCGAGUGGCGAACGGGUGAGUAACACGUGAGUAACCUGCCCUUGACUUUGGGAUAACUUCAGGAAACUGGGUCUAAUACCGGAUAGGAGCUCCUGCUGCAUGGUGGGGGUUGGAAAGUUUCGGCGGUUGGGGAUGGACUCGCGGCUUAUCAGCUUGUUGGUGGGGUAGUGGCUUACCAAGGCUUUGACGGAUAGCCGGCCUGAGAGGGUGACCGGCCACAUUGGGACUGAGAUACGGCCCAGACUCCUACGGGAGGCAGCAGUGGGGAAUAUUGCACAAUGGGCGGAAGCCUGAUGCAGCAACGCCGCGUGCGGGAUGACGGCCUUCGGGUUGUAAACCGCUUUCGCCUGUGACGAAGAGUGAGUGACGGUAAUGGGUAAAGAAGCACCGGCUAACUACGUG